ACAUGGACUUUGCGCUAGUUAUGGCUAUUAGUGAAUCAAUUAUUGAUAAAGGUCGAUGAUGUAUUGCUGGCCGUAAGUGCAUUCGACAUUGUUUGUGAUAGAUUAGCUAUGUACUCACCAUUAGCCUCGAUUUUCUUUUCAAUCACCGUCGUUAGUGGAUGGUUUGUUUAUAUUAGCCCUUUUUAUUACAACGAAAUAGGGUAACGAGGAAAUGAACAACAGCAAUUUGGUGGAUGCCAAAUAUUUAAAAUAUAUUUUGCGGGGCCUCAUUCGAGAGCACAACUCUACCGCGACCGCUACUAUUGACUCUACUGUUGGGAAGUUAGCAGGGUUCUCCCGGGUGACAACUUACGCCAGUCUUGUCGUCCCGUAAUCUCAAUCCAUCAAUCGCGACGUGCACUUGUAUUCUCUGCUUGUGCUCGCCCGCCGCGCGAAUCGCCAUCUUGAGAUCUGCCAAUGCCUCCUGACACAUUCUGUCACCGCGCGCCUCCGGCACUUCAAGAACGCCUAUUAA